UAACUUAAGCAAUGCGAACCCUACCUGCUUCCGCAUCCUUGCAGUUCCAAGACUGCGCCAGUGUGAAUAAGUAUCUUCAAAAA
rnacentral:sRNA from 1 species